GUUGCUAUGGGGGCUGGGCUUAUAGGGUGAUGUGCUAAUUGGGGCUCUAUGCUAUUGGGCAACGGCUAAUGGGGGCACAGGCUAUAGGGGCUCAGAAGCUAUGGGGCACGCUAUGGGGCUCGGAGCUAUGGGGCAUCGGGGCUAUGGGGCUCUAUGCUAUGGGGUGCGCUAUGGGGCGCUAUGUUAUGGGGUGCUAUGCUAUGGGGCACACUAUGGGGUGCUACGCUAUGGGGCGCUGCUGUGGGGCUGGCCCCAUCCCCGCCGCCGUCAUCAAUGGGGCUGAGCAGCUCCGGCCCCACAAGUGGCGCCAUGUGGGGCUGACGGGACCUGUGGGGCACAGAGAGAGAUUGACCCCAUAGAGCCUGACCCAUAGAGACACAUAGGGACCUAUAGGGACCCAUAGAGACCCCAUAGAGCCCUGACCCACAGAUCCCACCCCAUAGAGACCCCAUAGUAACCCACAGAGACCCAUAGAGACCCCAUAGACCCCAUAGAGACCAAUAGAACCCCAUAGACCCCAUAGAGACCCAUAGAGACCCCAUAGAGACCCAUAGAGACCCAUAGAGACCCAUAGAGACCCCAUAGAGACCCCAUAUCAUCCUAUAUAACCCAAUAUCCCCCCAUAUCCCCCCAUAGAACCCCAUAGAGGCCCCAUAGAGACCCCAUAGACCCCAUAUAACCCCCAUAAACCCCAUAGACCCCAUAUAAACCCCAUAGAGCCCCAUAGAACCCCAUAUAAACCCCAUAGACACCAUAGAACCCCAUAUCACCCCAUAUCACCCAUAGACACCCCAUAGAGACCCCAUAUACCCCAUAUAACCACAUAGAGACCCAUAGGGACCCCAUAGAGACCCAUAGAGACCCCAUAGAGACCAAUAGAACCCCAUAGACCCCAUAGAGACCCAUAGAGACCCCAUAGAGACCCCAUAGAGACCCCAUAGAGCGCUGACCCACAGAUCCCACCCCAUAGAGACC
rnacentral:lncRNA from 1 species